CAAUAGCGUAUAUUAAAGUUGUUGCAGUUAAAAAGCUCGUAGUUGAAGUUCUGGUUGUUAAGGCUUGCGUCACUCAGACAAAAGUACUUGCAAUCAUCCGUUUGUAAACAUAUUUAGGCUCUUCACCGAGCCAGUAUGUGAGCAAACAUUUUACCUUGAGAAAAACAGAGUGUUCCAGGCAGGUUUGUCCGGAAUGCAUUAGCAUGGAAUAAUAGAAUAUGACUGAGGUCUAUUUAUUGGUUUAGGGCCACAGUAAUGAUUAAUAGGAACAGUCGGGGCAUUAGUACUUGACAGUCAGAGGUGAAAUUCUUGGAUUUGUCAAAGACUAACUGAUGCGAAAGCGUUUGUCAAGGAUGUUUUCAUUAA
rnacentral:rRNA from 1 species